rnacentral:rRNA from 1 species
CCUGGGGAGUACGACCGCAAGGUUGAAACUCAAAGGAAUUGACGGGGGCCCGCACAAGCAGUGGAGUAUGUGGUUUAAUUCGACGCAACGCGAAGAACCUUACCAAGUCUUGACAUCCUGCGACGAGUGCAGAAAUGUACUUUUCCUUCGGGACGCAGAGACAGGUGGUGCAUGGUUGUCGUCAGCUCGUGUCGUGAGAUGUUGGGUUAAGUCCCGCAACGAGCGCAACCCUUAUGGAUAGUUACUACGCAAGAGGACUCUAUUCAGACUGCCGUUGACAAAACGGAGGAAGGUGGGGAUGACGUCAAAUCAUCAUGCCCUUUAUGACUUGGGCUACACACGUACUACAAUGGCGUUUAACAAAGAGAAGCGAUACCGCGAGGUGGAGCAAAACUCAAAAACAACGUCCCAGUUCAGAUUGCAGGCUGCAACUCGCCUGCAUGAAGUCGGAAUUGCUAGUAAUCGCAGAUCAGCAUGCUGCGGUGAAUACGUUCCCGGGCCUUGUACACACCGCCCGUCACACCAUGAGAGCCGGGGGGACCCGAAGUCGGUAGUCUAACCGCAAGGAGGACGCCGCCGAAGGUAAAACUGGUGAUUGGGGUGAAGUCGUAACAAGGUAGCCGUAGGAGAACCUGCGGCUGGAUCACCUCCUUUCUAGGGAG